ensembl:lncRNA
AUGCGUUGGCAAAAAGGCUUGCUCAGGGGUUUCCUUAAGAUGGUGCGGAAAACCGGAAUGAACUUUUUAGCCAACCACUGUUGCUUGUCUGUUUUUUUAACCAAGUGUCUGCUUGAGGGGUGNAUAUUUGUAUUGCGUAAGAUCCACAGCACAGAGGCAAAGCACAUAGGUUGAUUAAAGAUUUCCCUUAGAUUUGGAAACUCAAGGCCAAACUCUUCCAAGCUUCCCACCUACCAUUUUUCUCGCUACCCAGGUUCCUUAAAAUCCAAGAAUGUUCCCCUCAACUUGAGCCAUAUGAUUAGCAGAUUUCCAUCCACAGCAUAAACAAAACAAACCACAAUUUUUUAGUCAGUUGGAUUCAACAUCAGUGCGCUGACCACCCAUCCUGGAAGCUUUGUGUUAGGGGCAGGGAUCUAACAGUGAGUAAAAUACGCUCCCAAGGCCCUGACGGUCUUGCAGAUCAUUUCAGUAGGAGUUCAGGGUUUCAUCUAUAAUGUCAUUUGCAACCAAGAGAUGAAUCAACCAUAAAGAAGCCUUCACGAAGGAACGAUUCUUUAUCUCUAAAUUCCUUUUUAAAAAACACACAGAUGUAGUUCUUAGCUAGCAUCUUUAACCAUGGGUGCAAAAGUGAUUGCUGAAGACCAGCUCUCCAAACAUCUCUAGACAGUGACAGCACUCUGAGAAGAAAUAGCCCAUGUUAGGAGCUGCAUUUGUCCUCCCAAUAUGAUCGGGCUUCUAGUUCUGGGCUGACAAAGACGAGACACACAAAUACGUUCUGGAGGCCUUACAGGAGACAUAAACAGUGUGGAGAAGGACUUAACAGGGGAUUUGGCUCUGGAGCAGUUGCUGGUGUGUUGGGCAAGGAAUGGAUGCCAACACUGUGCACAGCUGUGAGGCUUGCCAACUCCAAGCAUUAUCUGCUUAUGAAUUAAGAAUGCAUUUUGAUGGCACUCUGCUAAUUUGCCUAAAGGAAGGAGAGUGAGAGUUAUAGGUAUUAAAAAAAAUCUCCCAGAUGGGUGAGACAUUGAUGACCUCAAUGCUAGGUAAGUUGCAAUUCUGUAUGGAUACGGUAGGAGAAAACAUGAUGUGUUUUUAGUGUGACUGUUCGGGGCAAUGUUUUGGAUGAUUUACUGACUAUAACUAUUCUGACUUGAAACGUGUCAUUUGCAACAAAAGUGAAUAUGAGUUUUUGAGACAGUAUCCAGCGCCAUCCUGGUGUUUCAUGUUUGUUUUUUGUUUCAUAUACGUUAGCUUCCCUUCUAUGCUUUGUCUGUACUCUUCUCAUCCCUCCAUUUUCAACUUGUUCUAUCUUAGGCGUGAGAACGGAAAUGUACUGCAAAAUGACGAUGGCUUAAAAGUGUGAAUCUAGGUUAAGGAAAUGUCAGUAGCCUUUCCCCUAAAAUGGAACAGUUAUGCAAACUUGCACUACAGUUAUGUGUGCACAUGUCGCAGCUCGCUGACGUCUGGUUUAGCAGGCACGGGUUCUGCCUUAUACUUCUCUGAAUCCUCGAUACUGCCUUACAAAUAAUAAUUAAAAGUAUUCAGUUCAGUUCAGUCAUUCAGUUGUGUCCGACUCUUUGCGACCCC